UGGGCUGUGGCUCAGUGGUAGAGCACUUGCCUAGCAUGUGUGAGGCUCUGACUUUGAUUCUCAGCACCACAU
rnacentral:tRNA from 1 species